rnacentral:rRNA from 1 species
CCCUUAGAUGUUCUGGGCUGCACGCGUGCUACACUGAUUACUUCAACAAGUGUUUUAACUGGAGAGUUUGCGUAAUCCUGAAAUGUUAUCGUGAUGGGAGUAGAGUAUUGUAUUUGUUAAUCUUUAACGAGGAAUUCCUAGUAAGUGUAGGUUUAUAAGUUGUUCUGAUUACGUCCCUGCCCUUUGUACACACCGCCCGUCGCUCCUACCGAUUGAAUGCUCAGGUGAGCCAUUCGGACUUUCAUCAUGCUGGUUUCCAGUUUUGAUGAAGGAAAGUCUUGCGAACCUUAUCAUUUAGAGGAAGGAGAAGUCGUAACA